rfam:Operophtera brumata OBRT01_Sc02835, whole genome shotgun sequence.
UUUUCUAUUGCCGAAUUGGUAUAGGCAUCGCCGAUAACAGGCGAGGGUGCGGGUUCGAGUCCCGCUGGAACGA